GCGAGAGUAGCUCAGUUGGUAGAGCGUCAGCCUUCCAAGCUGAGGGUCGCGGGUUCGAAUCCCGUCUCUCGCUCAA
rnacentral:tRNA from 1 species